rnacentral:ncRNA from 21 species
AUUUAAUAUUAUGUUUUAGGUACCUUUUUAAGGUUUAAUAGGGAAAGUGGUGAAAAUCCACUACAACCCCCGUUACUGUAGACGGUUACGAAACCAAGUCCACUGGAGAAAAUUCUCUGGGAAGGAUGGUGGAGGAUGACCCGUGAGUCAGGAGACCUGCCUAAGAUGGUAUAUGGAGC